rnacentral:rRNA from 1 species
GAUGAACGCUGGCGGCGUGCUUAACACAUGCAAGUCGAACGGGCGGAGGGAGCUUGCUCCCGAAGCUAGUGGCGGACGGGUGAGUAACGCGUGGGUAACCUGCCUCAUACAGGGGGGAUAACAGUGAGAAAUCACUGCUAAUACCGCAUAUGCGCACAGUACCGCAUGGUACAGUGUGGAAAACUCCGGUGGUAUGAGAUGGACCCGCGUUGGAUUAGCUAGUUGGUGAGGUAGAGGCUCACCAAGGCGGACGAUCCAUAGCCGGCCUGAGAGGGGUGGACGGCCACAUUGGGACUGAGACACGGCCCAG